rnacentral:rRNA from 1 species
UACGUAGGGAGCAAGCGUUGUUCGGAUUUACUGGGCGUAAAGCGCGCGCAGGCGGUCCUUUAAGUCGGGGGUGAAAGCCCAGAGCUCAACUCUGGAACUGCCUUCGAAACUAGAGGACUUGGGUACGGGAGAGGUGAGUGGAAUUCCGAGUGUAGAGGUGAAAUUCGUAGAUAUUCGCAGGAACACCAGUGGCGAAGGCGGCUUACUGGUCCAUAACUGACGCUGAGGUGCGAAAGCGUGGGGAGCAAACAGG